CGCUGGCUCCCCGGCGCUCCUUACCAGUGGCUUCUGCGGUCACAUGGGUUAUGUGCUGGAGUUUAAAAGAGCUUAUAGCCCCCGAGCCGGUGCAGAAGCAGCCGGUGGUUGCAUGGGGUAGCGCCGGGAGCGGCGGCAAGGAAGGCGCCGAAGCCAUCUCAGCACCUUUCCCCUGUGAAGACCCAGGAGUGCAAAAGCAUCCUUCUGCGGGGACCUUCCCACCGCUACGGCCAGCUCUAGCCUUCGCUCUCCACUGCUCCCCUGCAAGCGUGAAGCCUCCAUCCUCUCCAGCUAUCGUGGCAGCCCUUCUGCUUUCCUGAGUAAACUCCCAGAUCUGAGCAGCAAGGGUUGGACAAGCAUCCCAGAAGAACUACCCAGACGUUUAUGAGAAGUUGGGGACACCCCAAGGACUCUGGACUGGUGGAGAG